rfam:Ovis aries breed Texel chromosome 8, whole genome shotgun sequence.
UCCCUGCUGGCUCAGAUGGAAAGAGUCUGGCUGCAAUGCAGGAGACCCAGGUUCAAUCCCUGGGUCAGGAA